rnacentral:rRNA from 1 species
AUCUACAACCAUACCACCCUGAACAGGCCGGAUCUCAUCUGAUCUCGGAAGCUAAGCAGGGUCGGGCCUGGUUAGUACUUGGACGUGAGACCGCUUGGGAAUACCAGGUGCUGUCAUCU